CAGGAUAGAAGCUUUGCAGCAAACACUUUGUUCUUCCAGUUUAUCCUCCCCCACCCCAGGACCAGCUGCGCUUUAUUGACCGCAGGGAUUUGUGGGACUCAGCCCUGAACCAGGAGGGAUGGCCCAGGAGGGAUGGCCCAGGAGGGAUGGCCCGAGGCUGCACAGGUGAGCAGGAAGACAAGCGGUCAGAGCGCAGCCUCUGGGGACCCCUCUAUCUGAGUGCAAAGCCCGUCUCCUGCAAUUCUUAGCUGGGACAAAUAAUCCUUUCGGAUUUCUGCAAACUUCAAGCAACUAGGGUUCCUUAGUGACCCUGAAGAAUGGACCCUACAGUGGUGACCCGGCCCUUCUUGGAUUCAUGGCCCAGAUCAGGGCAGGAGAGAAAGAAGAAGCCUGAAGAAGAGUCGAUGACGGCGAGCAUCAGCGAGAUACUGCGUCUGGGCUGCUUAUCGAAGAACAUGAAGUGUAUAGGAUCUAAUAAAGU